rnacentral:snRNA from 1 species
UUGCUUCAGUAGCACAUGUGUUAAAAUUGUAGUCAUACAGAGAAGAUUAGCAUGGUCCUGCACAAGAUGACAUACAAACUCAUGAAGUAUUCUUAAUAGAA